rnacentral:rRNA from 1 species
GAUGAACGCUGGCGGCGUGCCUAAUACAUGCAAGUCGAGCGAAUGGAUUAAGAGCUUGCUCUUAUGAAGUUAGCGGCGGACGGGUGAGUAACACGUGGGUAACCUGCCCAUAAGACUGGGAUAACUCCGGGAAACCGGGGCUAAUACCGGAUAACAUUUUGAACCGCAUGGUUCGAAAUUGAAAGGUGGCUUCGGCUGUCACUUAUGGAUGGAACCGCAUGGCAUUAGCUAGUUGGUGAGGUAACGGCGCACCAAGGCAACGAUGCGUAGCCGACCUGAGAGGGUGAUCGGCCACACUGGGACUGAGACACGGCCCAGACUCCUACGGGAGGCAGCAGUAGGGAAUCUUCCGCAAUGGACGAAAGUCUGACGGAGCAACGCCGCGUGAGUGAUGAAGGCUUUCGGGUCGUAAAACUCUGUUGUUAGGGAAGAACAAGUGCUAGUUGAAUAAGCUGGCACCUUGACGGUACCUAACCAGAAAGCCACGGCUAACUACGUGCCAGCCGCCGCGGUAA